UACGGGGGGGCAAGCGUUGUUCGGAAUUACUGGGCGUAAAGGGCUCGUAGGCGGCCAACUAAGUCAUACGUGAAAUCCCUCGGCUUAACCGGGGAACUGCGUCUGAUACUGGAUGGCUUGAGUUCGGGAGAGGGAUGCGGAAUUCCAGGUGUAGCGGUGAAAUGCGUAGAUAUCUGGAGGAACACCGGUGGCGAAGGCGGCAUCCUGGACCGGUACUGACGCUGAGGAGCG
rnacentral:rRNA from 1 species